rnacentral:rRNA from 1 species
UACAGAGGGUGCGAACGUUGCUCGGAAUUACUGGGCGUAAAGCGCAUGUAGGCGGAUCCAUAAGUCGGGCGUGAAAUCCCCAGGCUCAACCUGGGAACUGCGCUCGAAACUGUGGGUCUUGAGUGUCGGAGAGGAUGGCGGAAUUCCUGGUGUAGAGGUGAAAUUCGUAGAUAUCAGGAGGAACACCGGUGGCGAAGGCGGCCAUCUGGACGACAACUGGCGCUGAGGCGCGAAAGCGUGGGGAGCAAACAGG